GUCUGCAGCUUCACUCCUGAGCCAGUGAGACCACGAACCCACCAGAAGGAAAAAACUUCAAACAUAUCCGAACAGCAAAAGGAACAGACUCCGGACACGCCACCUUUAAGAACUGUAACACCCACUGCAAGGGUCUGCGGCUUCAUUCUUUAAGUCAGUGAGACCAAGAACCCGCCAAUUCCGGACCCAAGAUCACAAAUCUGAAACCAACCAGCAAUAUGACCCUUGGCAAUUUACCUAACACCCGCGAACCUCAGUUUCCUAACCUGUAAGUUGGGGGUGAUAAUACCAAUUUCCAAAAAGAUGUUGUGAGCAAUAAUGCAAUACUAUGAAUAAAGCAAUUGAUGGAGGGCCUGGCUAUUGCUGAUUAUCAUCAUCAAGCUCUUUGUCUAAUAGCAUUUGGGGAAAGGAAUGAAAUUCCCAGAUGAGAGACAAAGUUGACCAUCAGAGUCUGCAGAGUUUGCAUACCCACAUGGUAUCAGAGGUCUCCAGUAAACGCAGUUACUCCUGGGAUCCAUGAAGACAGGACAAACAGUGAGCUGGUAGCAGCAAAAGCUAAUCAAGUUAAUUGAGAUUCUAUGACCAGGCUCUGAUGUCAGCACAACCCAUUAUUUUGGAGAGUUCUUUCCGGCCUGAAAGUGAUGCUUAUUGCUUUAUUCACAAUCUACUGGCAAGAACUCAGCCACGAGGCCACACAUGAUCUCAAGGGAUGCCAAAAAAACAUAAAUUUAAAAAAUACAUCACAUGUAAUGAAAUGAAGCCUAGCCACCUGCCCAGGAAGAAGAGGAAAUGGGAUCAAUUAUCAUUCACCAGUGCCACACUGUCCAAGCUGGCUUCACAGAAGCCUCAGUUGAGUCAGUGCCAGCCCUACUCUCCUCCCUGGUACUUAAUGGUCUGUCAACAGCAGUGAUGCAGAAGCAAGGGUGCUGGAAUGGAGACAGGAGUCCUAGUGCUGACUGCCACUGGCUGUAUGACUCUGGGGACUACCAUGAAUCCUACUUACCGCACUGGAGAGCUGUGCAGAUGGAAGGAAGUGGGAGAUGUGGAAACACUUUCAACAACUGAAGCAGCAGGCCAAGAAAAGGUGUCAAUAGCUGUGCUUUUGCCCACAAAAAAGUUUCCACGGAAGACCAGCUGGCCUUCUAAUUUGAGCAGAAUUUGCAACCGAUUAUAAAGUCAAAGAUCAAUGUUUAACAAAAAUCAAGUCAGCCUGGAAAUCUUUU
rnacentral:lncRNA from 1 species